AAUUUCGAUCGUCAUUUUUAUAUACUUUGGCAGGGUUUCAGAUCCUUUGUGUGGACUGCAAUUUCUUACCAGAUGAAAGACAUACUGAAGUUAUCGCCGUCUUCAUCACAGUUUCUAGUUUCUGUUGCUCAUUCUCCAUGGAGUAUCAAACCAAUUUAUGGGCAACCACUUAACCGUCUUGUGUUUGGUGGUUAGAUGGAUCUUAUUGCCUGCUGCUUGCGUUGUGAUUGGUACUUCAACACUUACAGACAAAUGAUCUGCAUUUUAUGUUAGCAAUCACAAUAUGUAGCCAAUUUAUCUUAUAAAAUUGUUUUAGUAAUCUGUACGCAAUUCUAAUUCAUGACUCUUUUGUUGUUGAUGUGCAUGUUAUCAUGAGCUUGCUAACGGUUAAAUUAUACUAACUCGACGUGUUUAUUUCUUUUGGAACACUAAACUUUAAAUGACUUGGUCUUUGUAUAUUUUCUCAUAAUAGAUACACAUAGCUGGACUCACAAGAGCAUUUGGGCAUUAUGGGUGAGAUCAUACUGUUUCUGAUAUUGAUGCAUGAAGGUGCAUAACUUGUUGAGCAACACAAGGCAAAUAUGAUAUUACUCUUGGUGUUUCCCUUGGUUUAGCAACCCAGAUCUCCAUGUUUGUUGUUCUCCAUUAUGUGUUAUGGUGGCUUGGAUAACAGGAAUCAAGAUGGAUCUUGAUCUUAAUCUGUUAGAAACUGUCUCAUUGAUCAUGGCAAUACUAGUAAUAGCAUUCACGUUACAGGAUGGAACUUCACAUUACUUAAAGGGGCUUGUUCCCUUGCUGUGCUACUUGGCAAUUGGUGCAUGCUUCUUUGUUUUCAAAUCCCCACUUGAGCAUCAGCCAACAAGUUCCAUAACCAGAACAGCUGUAGUGACUGUGGCCUAGCUAAUAGCUAGUAAAAAAUGAGCAGGAGCUGGCGAAUUGCCGCUUCAACCAAACCAUAUUCCCCUGAACAAAUUGAGUCUUACAAUAACUUUUUUACAUAUACUUUUAAUUUGAGUUUUGCUUAGUUGCUUUCGUUUACCUCAUGACAGGUGAUGCUGAGACGGUUUUGUCCUCGUAAGACUACUCUACUGUUUGUUAUACGAGAUAAAACAAGGUCACAAUUGAAUGAGGCUAUUUUAAGAGAGGAUUAUGGAGAAGCUGCAAAGCUAAAGUUGGCCAUAACUAGUGCUACAAAAAAGGAUAUUGUUGGAGCAGCAUUGACUAUUAUGAAU